rnacentral:rRNA from 1 species
UACCGGAUGGUAUAGUUUUCCCGCAUGGGAUGAUUAUUAAAGAAUUUCGGUUGUCGAUGGGGAUGCGUUCCAUUAGGCAGUUGGCGGGGUAACGGCCCACCAAACCUACGAUGGAUAGGGGUUCUGAGAGGAAGGUCCCCCACAUUGGAACUGAGACACGGUCCAAACUCCUACGGGAGGCAGCAGUGAGGAAUAUUGGUCAAUGGACGAGAGUCUGAACCAGCCAAGUAGCGUGAAGGAUGACUGCCCUAUGGGUUGUAAACUUCUUUUAUACGGGAAUAAAGUGAGCCACGUGUGGCUUUUUGUAUGUACCGUAUGAAUAAGGAUCGGCUAACUCCGUGCCAGCAGCCGCGGUAAUACGGAGGAUCCGAGCGUUAUCCGGAUUUAUUGGGUUUAAAGGGAGCGUAGGCGGGUUGUUAAGUCAGUUGUGAAAGUUUGCGGCUCAACCCGUAAAAAUUGCAGUUGAUACUGGCGACCUUGAGUGCAACAGAGGUAGGCGGAAUUCGUGGUGUAGCGGUGAAAUGCUUAGAUAUCACGAAGAACUCCGAUUGCGAAGGCAGCUUACUGGAUUG